CUCCUCAGGAAGUUUCUCCACAAUCUCAUCCAGGACAUUCUUAACCUGAGCAUACCAACACCAACAGGAUGAGCUGAAAUCAUUACUGGGUUUAGCUUUUAGAUGGGGAGCUGAGGCCUAUGGAGACUGAUGGAAAGAUUCCCUGGAGAGAUUUGUCUUCUUUGCACAACAGAGAACAGAAGCUUCCUACAAGUGUCCUGCAAGAAACACGUCUUGCAAAGGAAAGACCUCAGCAAGCUCAGAGGCAGGAGUGAGGCUCCUGUGUCUUCUUCCCUGCAAUCAGACUGGGGGAAGAGAAGGUGAUAGGCUGGAAAAUGCCACACACUUCUAUCCCUACCUGCCAGACUGUGCAGCUUAAACUAUCCUGGGUGCAUGGCAGUCAGGUGCGACUGCCUGACAUACCGCUCCCUCGCCACCAAGCCCUGCUCACUCUGUGGGAGCUUGCUGCAGCAGAGAAUCUGCCUGCAAGUGAUUUCCCACUCAAAGUCACAUGGGGAGAUGGGAUGUGAUGCCUGAUCUUCACCUCUAGGCCCCAUCAGCAUCAAGCAUUUAGCAGACACAGAAGUGGCUAUCAAGUUGAAAGGUUACCUGUUUCCUAACCCACCAGUUUUAGAACAAAGAGUAAUGAAGAGGGAGAAACAACUAGAAUCAGGUGAAUCUUAACACUGUAUUUUUUUCUACACCAAUAUUGCCAUAAUUCCUCUCUUGAAAAACCAAAGAUGGAAUACAACAUAGGUCAGCAAUGAAUAAGUUGUAAUUAAACAUGGCAACUGUUCCCAUAAAAAAUUAAGCAUUUUUCCUUU